GACCUGUUAGGGCAGAUGGUAGCCCACCCGAUAGAAAUUCCGCAUCACAAGUAGCCUAUGCGGGAGGCCCCAGUUCGACUCUGGGAUGGGCCA